AGACAGGUUCACGUGAUCGCUGGUGUGCAUCCGCACACGGGAGGAAAGUCCGAGCUUCGCAGGGCAGGAUGCCAGGUAACUCCUGGUGGGGGCGACCCCGAGGAAAGUGCCACAGAAAGCAAACCGCCUCGCCGUCGAAAGGCCGCGCGGCAAGGGUGAAAGGGUGAGGUAAGAGCUCACCGGGCUGGCGGUAACGUUGGUCGCACGGCAAACCCCAUCUGAAGCAAGACGAAAUAGGGAGGCGUUGAGGGUGGUCCCGCCC
rnacentral:RNase_P_RNA from 1 species